rnacentral:lncRNA from 1 species
AAAUCAAACAAACAUUAAAAAAACAUAAAUCAAGCAAGUCCCAAAAAUCUAAAACACAACCUCAUAAAUUUGUUAAAAAAAACUCAUGAAUUUGUUCUCACUAUCUCUUCCCAACAAGUAACACCACACAAGGCAAUAAGAUUACGGGCGGCUAAAGCUCAUACAAUUUGCAGUAGAUCUGCUUGAGGUGGUGGAGCUUUGGAGAUACAACUUUAAUAUGUGGAUUUGACAACAAACUAAGAAAAAUGGAUGCUUGGUGGUGUAGCUUUGGAGUUUUAAUUUUUUUUAUUUUAGAUGGAUAUUGAGGAGAACAUAACAUUGAUAUUGUUUGUAGGUGUAUUUGAGAAGAAAUUAAUUUUGGGUUAAGGAUGAAGAUGAUGAACA